AGGACGAACGCUGGCGGCGUGCUUAACACAUGCAAGUCGAGCGACAGCAUCCUUCGGGGUGUAUGGAGCGGCGAACGGGUGAGUAACACGUGGGCAACCUGCCCUCAGCUCUGGGAUAACUCCGGGAAACCGGGGCUAAUACCGGAUACGACUGCUCCUGGCAUCUGGGGCAGUGGAAAGUUUUUCGGCUGAGGAUGGGCCCGCGGCCUAUCAGCUUGGUUGGUGGGGUCACGGCCCACCAAGGCGACGACGGGUAGCCGGCCUGGAGACGGGCGACCGGCCACGACGUCGGACGUGAGACACGGCCCAGACUCCUACGGGAGCGAGCGAGGUGGGUAAUAGUUGCG
rnacentral:rRNA from 1 species